AUCCUGGCUCAGGACGAACGCUGGCGGCGUGCCUAAUACAUGCAAGUAGAACGCUGAAGAGAGGAGCUUGCUCUUCUUGGAUGAGUUGCGAACGGGUGAGUAACGCGUAGGUAACCUGCCUUGUAGCGGGGGAUAACUAUUGGAAACGAUAGCUAAUACCGCAUAACAAUGGAUGACCCAUGUCAUUUAUUUGAAAGGGGCAAAUGCUCCACUACAAGAUGGACCUGCGUUGUAUUAGCUAGUAGGUGAGGUAACGGCUCACCUAGGCGACGAUACAUAGCCGACCUGAGAGGGUGAUCGGCCACACUGGGACUGAGACACGGCCCAGACUCCUACGGGAGGCAGCAGUAGGGAAUCUUCGGCAAUGGGGGCAACCCUGACCGAGCAACGCCGCGUGAGUGAAGAAGGUUUUCGGAUCGUAAAGCUCUGUUGUAAGUCAAGAACGAGUGUGAGAGUGGAAAGUUCACACUGUGACGGUAGCUUACCAGAAAGGGACGGCUAACUACGUGCCAGCAGCCGCGGUAAUACGUAGGUCCCGAGCGUUGUCCGGAUUUAUUGGGCGUAAAGCGAGCGCAGGCGGUUUGAUAAGUCUGAAGUUAAAGGCUGUGGCUCAACCAUAGUUCGCUUUGGAAACUGUCAAACUUGAGUGCAGAAGGGGAGAGUGGAAUUCCAUGUGUAGCGGUGAAAUGCGUAGAUAUAUGGAGGAACACCGGUGGCGAAAGCGGCUCUCUGGUCUGUAACUGACGCUGAGGCUCGAAAGCGUGGGGAGCGAACAGGAUUAGAUACCCUGGUAGUCCACGCCGUAAACGAUGAGUGCUAGGUGUUGGAUCCUUUCCGGGAUUCAGUGCCGCAGCUAACGCAUUAAGCACUCCGCCUGGGGAGUACGACCGCAAGGUUGAAACUUAAAGGAAUUGACGGGGGCCCGCACAAGCGGUGGAGCAUGUGGUUUAAUUCGAAGCAACGCGAAGAACCUUACCAGGUCUUGACAUCCCGAUGCUAUUUCUAGAGAUAGAAAGUUACUUCGGUACAUCGGUGACAGGUGGUGCAUGGUUGUCGUCAGCUCGUGUCGUGAGAUGUUGGGUUAAGUCCCGCAACGAGCGCAACCCCUAUUGUUAGUUGCCAUCAUUCAGUUGGGCACUCUAGCGAGACUGCCGGUAAUAAACCGGAGGAAGGUGGGGAUGACGUCAAAUCAUCAUGCCCCUUAUGACCUGGGCUACACACGUGCUACAAUGGUUGGUACAACGAGUUGCGAGUCGGUGACGGCAAGCUAAUCUCUUAAAGCCAAUCUCAGUUCGGAUUGUAGGCUGCAACUCGCCUACAUGAAGUCGGAAUCGCUAGUAAUCGCGGAUCAGCACGCCGCGGUGAAUACGUUCCCGGGCCUUGUACACACCGCCCGUCACACCACGAGAGUUUGUAACACCCGAAGUCGGUGAGGUAACCUUUUGGAGCCAGCCGCCUAAGGUGGGAUAGAUGAUUGGGGUGAAGUCGUAACAAGGUA
rnacentral:rRNA from 1 species